rnacentral:tRNA from 1 species
GCACCCAUGGCUCAACUGAAUAGAGUACUUGACUACGAAUCAAGCGGUUGCAGGUUCGAAUCCUGCUGGGUGCA